CCUACGGGCGGCAGCAGUGGGGAAUAUUGCACAAUGGGGGAAACCCUGAUGCAGCGACGCCGCGUGAGUGAAGAAGUAUUUCGGUAUGUAAAGCUCUAUCAGCAGGAACGAGACAAGACGGUACCUGAUUCAGACGCCCCGGCUAACUACGUGCCCGCAGCCGCGGUAAUACGUAGGGGGCAAGCGUUAUCCGGAAUCACUGGGUGUAAAGGGAGCGUAGACGGCUGUGCAAGCCUGAAGUGAAAGGCGGGGGCCCAACCCCUGGACUGCUUUGGGAACUGUACGGCUGGAGUGCAGGAGAGGUAAGUGGAAUUCCUAGUGUAGCGGUGAAAUGCGUAGAUAUUCGGAGGAACACCGGUGGCGAAGGCGGCCAACUGGGCUUUAACUGACGCUGAGGCUCGAAAGUGUGGGGAGCAAACAGGAUUAGAUACCCCGGUAGUC
rnacentral:rRNA from 1 species